UUAGGAAUUUUGGGCAAUGGCCGCAAGGCUGACCCAGCAACGCCGCGUGGGGGACGAAGGCCUUCGGGUUGUAAACCCCUUUUCCCAGGGACGAUGAUGACGGUACCUGGGGAAUAAGCCCCGGCUAACUACGUGCCAGCAGCCGCGGUAAUACGUAGGGGGCAAGCGUUGUCCGGAUUCAUUGGGCGUAAAGCGCGGGCAGGCGGCCCGUUAAGUCGGCCGUGAAAGCGCCGGGCUCAACUCGGCGAGGACGGGCGAGACUGACGGGCUCGAGGUUGGCAGAGGGCGGUGGAAUUCCGGGUGUAGUGGUGGAAUGCGUAGAGCUCCGGAGGAACACCAGUGGCGAAGGCGGCCGCCUGGGCCAAUACUGACGCUGAGCCGCGAAAGCGUGGGGAGCGAGCCGGAUUAGAUACCCGUGUAGUCC
rnacentral:rRNA from 1 species